GGAGGAAGCAAGUCUAUGAUUCCCUCUGCUUAAAGCCAGUGUGGUAUGUCUGAACCUGCUCGAUUUUUUCAAUAUUUGGACGAGAACAAUCAGGAAUUGAAAUUGUAAAUUACUCUAUGUCUAUUGUGCAUGACACUAAAUUUUCUCUUCCUGUCUCAGAGGGCCUUUGUGUUGCAGAGCCUGUAGUGUAAGCACAGAAUCAUGUGUCCAAAGAGGAUCCCCAGGGAGAUGCUACAUGAAAAGGCAGCCCCAGACCCUGGCAGGAAACCAGCCUUCCAACUCCCUCUGCACCUGCUCCUGGGCAUGAAACAUACACAUAGUGAUUGUGGGUCCUGAGCGCCCCCUGCAGCCCUGUGUCCCUGCAGGGAGGUUUUUGUCUGGGCUGAGACUGUUUUCCCCUCACUGUGCCUGUUGCACAGUAAUAGCGGGCCGUGUCUUCGGUUCUCAGGCUGUUCAUUUGCAGAUAGGCCGUGUUCUGGGAGUUGUCUUUGGAGAUGGUGAAUCGGCCCUUCACAGAGUCUGCGUAGUAGGAGCUACCACCACUAUAAAUAGCGUGGCAGGUGCCCAAGGCAGGCAUGAGGGUCCUGAUGCUGGUCGGUUGGAUGGCCUUUACGAAGAUGUCUCUUCAUUGCAUCAGUUUCGUCACGGUAGACACCUGUCACUCGUGGGCCAUUCUGAUUUCUACCGUGGCACACAAAGCGCUGACAGAGAAGUCAUUGUUUUCCCCACAUUCAGGAAAGAACCUCACCCAGGGGCGUAGCGUUCUGUGGCGUCUCCAAGGACACACACGUGCUGGGAGUCCCUCCUCGUGUCUGCACUUGUGCUCCUCCUGCUGGACCCACCUGUCCCCUGAAGCAACUGCUGGACAGAGUGGCCUCGCCUGGAGGGCCAGAAAAAGCAUGCUCACUGGUGACAUCAAGGAUGUACAAACACAUUCUAUAUCUGCCAGGUCCUCCCAGCAUACACCUGGCUGCAGGUAAGUGAGUUGGCUCCAAGGCACACAGCAUCAGAGCUGACCAGGGGAGAACAGGCGGGGGUGGCAGGAGAGCCUCUGGAGUAGAUAGAGUUCUGGCAGGAAUGUAGCAGAGGCAGGUGCAUGGACAGGCUGCUGGCCAGUCGCUGCCUGUGGAGCACUGCCUUGUGGACGAUGGUGAAGCAAGAUCAGAAGGGCCACCUCCAACUUGAAGACCUGUGCUGUGUCCUGCUCCUGGCGGAGGCAGGGGCGGGGGUAGGGGCAGGGCCUUGGCUCACAGGCACGGCACUAUGGAGAGCAGUUCACAGCUUCUGGACCUUUGGGUGUGGCAGGUAUUUCAGGUGCAGCAGACAAAGGAUGCUCAGGGUGGAGGAAAGUGGUGGCAACAAUGUGGCAGGAGCCGCUGUCUGGACACCAACCCAGCACCUGGGCGUCACCUCCUCUGGUCCUCACCACUCGUCCCAGGGGAGCCAUUCCCAUUCUGAUGAUUGAUUAGUGGGCUGAGCACAGGCAGCAGUGGGCUCUGCACCAGAUCACCUGCCAGCUGCCGCCUGAGCCAGGUCUCUGGGGAAGAAGGCAGGUUUGUGUUAGGAAGAUGAUAACGAGUGUGGGUGGACAGGGCUCGUGCUGGAUGGGGAAGGGGCUCAGGCUCAGAGGGUGGGAGGCAUGGAGUGGGCUUCAGGCUCAGAGGGUGGACAAAGGAGCCUCCGUCAUCCUGGGACCCAGAGUGCUGGGUGUGUGGCAUGGAGGACACUCCAGGACCCGUGGUUCCCCAACAAUGGUGUAACUGCUGGAACAGCACCUGCCUCUGGCUGCUCCCAAUGGGGCUGCUGGCCAGCUGCCCUUUAGGCUUCCUGAGGGGACCACCAUGGGGGGUCUGGGGAGGUGAUUGUCAUGGCCCUUGGAACUGAAGACCCCACUUUUGGACUUAUCAGGCUGCAGCUCUCCGGGGCCCUGGGACCUGCUUCUGUCCCCUUGGUUCUAUGCUGAGCGGUGUGGCCUGUCCUGAGGCCCCAGUGCAGGGCGGGUGAUCUUUAUGGGGCUGCGACCAGAUGAGGCCUCACUACGGACCUCCACUCACUGCUGGCUGCCCCCGGCCCAGAGCAACUACCCUCCUAGACUCCAGGCAGGGGCAGCACAGCCCCUAAGGUGCAGGCGGAGUUGGAGUAGAUGAGGAAGGGCAGCGGAGCCCAGGAGGAGGUGCUGAGUCUGGGGCCGGGAUCUGCAGGAAUAUGAACCUCUUUCUCACACCUUCUUAUAAACAGGUCUCGCCUGAGCCAGGGCCCAGAUUCUGGCCUGCUCUUCACGG
ensembl:lncRNA